rnacentral:rRNA from 1 species
GCGAACGGGUGAGUAAUACAUAAAUAAUCUACCAUAAUGACUGGGAUAACCAAUGGAAACGCUGGCUAAUACCGGAUAGGUAAAACGAGGGCAUCUUUGUUUUAUUAAAGUAGGACUACUACACAAUAUGAUGAGUUUAUGGCGCAUUAGCUAGUUGGUGAGGUAACGGCUCACCAAGGCGAUGAUGCGUAGCCGACCUGAGAGGGUGACCGGCCACACUGGGACUGAGACACGGCCCAGACUCCUACGGGAGGCAGCAGUAGGGAAUUUUCGGCAAUGGGCGCAAGCCUGACCGAGCAACGCCGCGUGAGCGAAGAAGGCCUUCGGGUUGUAAAGCUCUGUUGUAAGGGAAGAACACUUUUUAGAGGAAAUGCUAGAGAGCUGACGGUACCUUACCAGAAAGCCACGGCUAACUACGUGCCAGCAGCCGCGGUAAUACGUAGGUGGCGAGCGUUAUCCGGAAUUAUUGGGCGUAAAGGGUGCGUAGGCGGUUUAUUAAGUCUGUGGUGAAAGUGCGGGGCUCAACCCCGUAUGGCCACAGAAACUGAUAGACUAGAGUACAGGAGAGGGCAGUGGAAUUCCAUGUGUAGCGGUAAAAUGCGUAGAUAUAUGGAGGAACACCGGUGGCGAAGGCGGCUGCCUGGCCUGUAACUGACGCUGAGGCACGAAAGCGUGGGGAGCAAAUAGGAUUAGAUACCCUAGUAGUCCACGCUGUAAACGAUGAUUACUAAGUGUUGGAGAAAUUCAGUGCUNNNGUUAACGCAAUAAGUAAU